rnacentral:rRNA from 1 species
AUUGAACGCUGGCGGCAGGCCUAACACAUGCAAGUCGAACGGUAGCACAGAGAGCUUGCUCUCGGGUGACGAGUGGCGGACGGGUGAGUAAUGUCUGGGAAACUGCCCGAUGGAGGGGGAUAACUACUGGAAACGGUAGCUAAUACCGCAUAAUGUCGCAAGACCAAAGAGGGGGACCUUCGGGCCUCUUGCCAUCGGAUGUGCCCAGAUGGGAUUAGCUAGUUGGUGAGGUAAUGGCUCACCAAGGCGACGAUCCCUAGCUGGUCUGAGAGGAUGACCAGCCACACGGGAACUGAGACACGGUCCAGACUCCUACGGGAGGCAGCAGUGGGGAAUAUUGCACAAUGGGCGCAAGCCUGAUGCAGCCAUGCCGCGUGUAUGAAGAAGGCCUUCGGGUUGUAAAGUACUUUCAGCGGGGAGGAAGGCAAUGCGGUUAAUAACCGUGUUGAUUGACGUUACCCGCAGAAGAAGCACCGGCUAACUCCGUG